rnacentral:lncRNA from 1 species
UUGGAAUAAAAGAGUAUGAUUAAGAAAAUGAUUAGGUUGUUUUCAUCUUCGUUUAAUUAAUUUUAUUUAUUUUUCUAAAACACUUUUAUUUCAGUUUAGUUUCAGUUUAAUUAAAAUGAAUACUUGUUCCAUUUGUCAACUAACCUCAUUUACAAGUUUAUCCUGUGCUUUAUGUACAAAAAGUGUUGGCACCAAAUGUCAAGGUAUUAGAAUCAAUGAAUACAAUGUGUGAAUACAAUGCUGUGUAUAAAACUUGUACAGUUUUUAAAUUGUUUACAAAAGACCAGUUGGAAGAGGUUGCAGUGUCUCCAACUAUUAAAAUGAUUUUUUCUGGAGCAGUCCAGCUAUAAACCCCUGGUAAACCUUAUAAUUUUGCCAGAACCAGAUAACGUUUAAUACAAAAGUCGCAUUCAUAUCUAAAAACAGGUAACGUGACACCAGGUUUUUAAACAGUUGAUGAACCUAUUGAACCUCGGAUUUAGUUGAUGAACCUAUUGUCUACUGUUGAAACAUGAUUUGAUUCAGUAAAUUUUUAUUAUUUGAAUUUUACUGUAUUAAUCAUUAGUCAACAGUUAGCGAGAAACUGGUGCUCUACGUAAUUGAGAUUAAUUGAUGAACAUUUCAAUCGUCACCGAAAAUUGAAUUUUCCUGUUUGUUGCAGGCUUGUUUUCCUUUAAUUAGGAGUAUGGUAGACUUAAAGAAGCAGUUCAUAUCUAAACGACACAAACUGUCAAAAGCAAGAGAAA